AUUGAACGCUGGCGGCAGGCCUAACACAUGCAAGUCGAGCGGAUGACGGGAGCUUGCUCCUAGAUUCAGCGGCGGACGGGUGAGUAAUGCCUAGGAAUCUGCCUGGUAGUGGGGGACAACGUUUCGAAAGGAACGCUAAUACCGCAUACGUCCUACGGGAGAAAGCAGGGGACCUUCGGGCCUUGCGCUAUCAGAUGAGCCUAGGUCGGAUUAGCUAGUUGGUGGGGUAAUGGCUCACCAAGGCGACGAUCCGUAACUGGUCUGAGAGGAUGAUCAGUCACACUGGAACUGAGACACGGUCCAGACUCCUACGGGAGGCAGCAGUGGGGAAUAUUGGACAAUGGGCGAAAGCCUGAUCCAGCCAUGCCGCGUGUGUGAAGAAGGUCUUCGGAUUGUAAAGCACUUUAAGUUGGGAGGAAGGGCAGUAAGCUAAUAUCUUGCUGUUUUGACGUUACCGACUGAAUAAGCACCGGCUAACUCUGUGCCAGCCGCCGCUGUAA
rnacentral:rRNA from 1 species